AUGGCGCAUUUCCAGGGCCAGCAGCACGGCCACCCGGCCACCCGCGUCGACGAGUACGGCAACCCUGUGCCGGCCGGCCACGGCGUCACCGGGACCGAAGGCUUGGGGCACUUCCCGGGCCAGGCCCAGCAGCACGGCCACAACACCACCCGCCUCGACGAGUACGGCAACCCGGUGACGGCCGGCCACGGCGUUGGGCUGGGAUCCACCGGCACUGGAGUGCACGGCGGGUACGGGUCUGCCGGCACCGGCACCCACGACACUGGCGGCCACGGCCGCCAGGUGGGAUACGGUGCCACUGGCACGGGCACCCACGACGCUGGGGGGUUUGGAGGCUCUGGAAUUGCCCCUCGGCACGACACCACCGGCACUGGGCUUCACGACGCCGGUGGGUUGGGCACGCGGCAUGCCGCCACCGGUACCCACGGCACAGGCCAGACCGCCGGGCUCGGCGGCACAGGCACAGGGAUGACCGGGACCCAUGGCGCAGGCCACACCGCCGGGCUCGGCGGCACAGGCACAGGGAUGACCGGGACCCAUGGCGCAGGCCACACCGCCGGGCUCGGCGGCACCGGCACAGGGAUGACCGGGACCCAUGGCACGGGCCACACCGCCGGGCUCGGCGGCACCGGCACAGGGAUCACCGGGACCCAUGGCACAGGCCACACCGCCGGGUAUGACGCCACCGGUACUCAUGGCACAGGGCACACGGCCGGGUACGGGGCGACCGGCACUGGGAUCACUGGAACCCACGGCGCCGCUGGCACACACCCUCAUGGCGGGGUAGCCGAGCAAAAGACUCGUGGCAUCCUCCACCGCUCUGGCAGCUCCAGCUCCAGCUCGUCAUCCUCCGAGGACGACGGGAUGGGCGGUAGGAGGAAGAAAGGCAUGAAGCAGAAGAUCAAAGAGAAGCUCCCCGGCGGUAACAAGGAGCAGACCACGGCCGCCGGCGGCUACGGGCCAGGGUACACGGGGACGACUGGCACUGGUGGGCCAGGGUACACGGGGACCACCGGCACUGGCGGGGCCUACGGAGCCACUGAGGGGACGCAUGAGAAGAAGGGCGUCAUGGAGAAGAUCAAGCAGAAGCUCCCUGGCGGGCACAAGGACACCCAGCCGCACACCACGGCUACCGGCGGCUACGGACCUGGCACCACUGGUACCACUGGCACCGGCGGCUAUGGUACUGGCACCACCGGCACCGCGGGGACGCACGGCGCCACUGAGGGCACCCACGAGAAGAAAGGCAUGAUGGAGAAGAUCAAGGAGAAGCUCCCCGGCGGCCACCACUGA
rnacentral:rRNA from 1 species